rnacentral:rRNA from 1 species
UACAGAGGUGGCAAGCGUUGUUCGGAAUUACUGGGCGUAAAGGGCGCGUAGGCGGUCUUGUAAGUCUAGUGUGAAAUCCCUCGGCUUAACUGAGGAACUGCACGAGAUACUGCAAGACUUGAGAUCGGGAGAGGGAAGCGGAAUUCCGGGUGUAGCGGUGAAAUGCGUAGAUAUCCGGAGGAACACCGGUGGCGAAGGCGGCUUCCUGGACCGAUACUGACGCUGAGGCGCGAAAGCUAGGGGAGCAAACGGG